rnacentral:rRNA from 1 species
CCUACGGGAGGCUGCAGUGAGGAAUAUUGGUCAAUGGACGAGAGUCUGAACCAGCCAAGUAGCGUGAAGGAUUACUGCCCUAUGGGUUGUAAACUUCUUUUAUAUGGGAAUAAAAUGUUCCACGUGUGGGAUUUUGUAUGUACCAUAUGAAUAAGGAUCGGCUAACUCCGUGCCAGCAGCCGCGGUAAUACGGAGGAUCCGAGCUUUAUCCGGAUUUAUUGGGUUUAAAGGGAGCGUAGGUGGAUUGUUAAGUCAGUUGUGAAAGUUUGCGGCUCAACCGUAAAAUUGCAGUUGAAACUGGCAGUCGUGAGUACAGUAGAGGUGGGCGGAAUUCGUGGUGUAGCGGUGAAAUGCUUAGAUAUCACGAAGAACUCCGAUUGCGAAGGCAGCUCACUGGACUGCAACUGACACUGAGGCUCGAAAGUGUGGGUAUCAAACAGGAUUAGAUACCCCAGUAGUC